rnacentral:lncRNA from 1 species
AUCAAAUGUGGCAUAGCAUUCUCUCUCACUACUGGUCAGCAGCAGCAGCAAGCUGGAGCUCCAGAAAGCAUGAGACCUUACUGACUGAUCCUGCUAAGUCCACCAGGUUGAGUAAGGAGGUCCGGAUGUUCACGGUCUCGCUGCUCUUCUCCAUUGAUUCUAUUGUGAUGGUAAAGACUGCAUGGGAUCUAGAAGACUCUCUGUUCAUAGAUGUUGAUGCUACACGUCUGUUCCUCCAGCCUCUAGAUAAGACCUUGGGAAAAGGAGACGGUUACACGAAGCCACAAUAGAAAGAGUCAGUGUUGCCAGUUUGGCCUGGAGCUCACCACAUAACUCAA